rnacentral:rRNA from 1 species
GAUGAACGCUGGCGGCGUGCCUAAUACAUGCAAGUCGAGCGAACAGACGAGGAGCUUGCUCCUCUGACGUUAGCGGCGGACAGGUGAGUAACACGUGGAUAACCUACCUAUAAGACUGGGAUAACUUCGGGAAACCGGAGCUAAUACCGGAUAAUAUAUUGAACCGCAUGGUUCAAUAGUGAAAGACGGUUUUGCUGUCACUUAUAGAUGGAUCCGCGCCGCAUUAGCUAGUUGGUAAGGUAACGGCUUACCAAGGCGACGAUGCGUAGCCGGCCUGAGAGGGUGAUCGGCCACACUGGAACUGAGACACGGUCCAGACUCCUACGGGAGGCAGCAGUAGGGAAUCUUCCGCAAUGGGCGAAAGCCUGACGGAGCAACGCCGCGUGAGUGAUGAAGGUCUUCGGAUCGUAAAACUCUGUUAUUAGGGAAGAACAAAUGUGUAAGUAACUAUGCACGUCUUGAUGGUACCUAAUCAGAAAGCCACGGCUAACUACGUG